GAUGAACGCUAGCGGCAGGCCUAAUACAUGCAAGUCGAACGGUGUCUUCGGACAUAGUGGCGCACGGGUGCGUAACGCGUAUGCAACCUACCUUACAUUGGGGGAUAGCCUUUCGAAAGGGAGAUUAAUACCGCAUAAGACAGUAGCUGGGCAUCCAGCAGCUGUUAAAGAUUUAUCGAUGUAAGCUGGGCAUGCGUCCAAUUAGCUAGUUGGUGAGGUAACGGCUCACCAAGGCAAUGAUUGGUAGGGGAACUGAGAGGUCAAUCCCCCACACUGGCACUGGGAUACGGGCCAGACUCCUACGGGAGGCAGCAGUAGGGAAUAUUGGGCAAUGGACGCAAGUCUGACCCAGCCAUGCCGCGUGCAGGAUGAAGGCGUUAUGCGUUGUAAACUGCUUUUAUACAGGAAGAAACGACUCUUGCGAGAGGCAUUGACGGUACUGUAUGAAUAAGCACCGGCUAACUCCGUGCCAGCCGCCGCGGUAAAAC
rnacentral:rRNA from 1 species